rnacentral:rRNA from 1 species
AGCGAACGCUGGCGGCAGGCCUAAUACAUGCAAGUCGAGCGCACCUUCGGGUGAGCGGCGGACGGGUGAGUAACGCGUGGGAACGUGCCCUUUGGUACGGGAUAACUGAGGGAAACUUCAGCUAAUACCGUAUGUGCCCUACGGGGGAAAGAUUUAUCGCCAUUGGAGCGGCCCGCGUUGGAUUAGGUAGUUGGUGAGGUAAAGGCUCACCAAGCCUACGAUCCAUAGCUGGUCUGAGAGGAUGAUCAGCCACACUGGGACUGGGACACGGCCCAGACUCCUACGGGAGGCAGCAGUAGGGAAUCUUGCGCAAUGGGCGAAAGCCUGACGCAGCCAUGCCGCGUGAAUGAUGAAGGUCUUAGGAUUGUAAAAUUCUUUCACCGGGGAAGAUAAUGACGGUACCCGGAGAAGAAGCCCCGGCUAACUUCGUGCCAGCCGCCGCUGUAAAAC